UACAGAGGCCCCAAGCGUUACUGAGAAUCACUGGGUUUAAAGGGUGCGUAGGUGGCGCGUUAAGUCCGUUGUGAAAUCCCUGGGCUCAACCCAGGAAUUGCUUCGGAUACUGGCGUGCUUGAGGCUAGUAGGGGUCACUGGAAUUGACGGUGGAGCGGUGAAAUGCGUAGAUAUCGUCAGGAACGCCAAUGGUGAAGACAGGUGACUGGGCUAGUUCUGACACUGAGGCACGAAAGCGUGGGGAGCGAACGGG
rnacentral:rRNA from 1 species